UACGUAGGGGGGCAAGCGUUGUCCGGAUUUACUGGGCGUAAAGAGCGUGUAGGCGGCCAAACAGGUCCGUUGUGAAAACUGGAGGCUUAACCUCCAGACGUCGACGGAAACCGUGUGGCUAGAGUCCGGAAGAGGAGAGUGGAAUUCCUGGUGUAGCGGUGAAAUGCGCAGAUAUCAGGAAGAACACCAACGGCGAAGGCAGCUCGCUGGGACGGUACUGACGCUGAGACGCGAAAGCGUGGGGAGCGAACAGG
rnacentral:rRNA from 1 species